UACGUAGGGGGCUAGCGUUGUCCGGAAUCAUUGGGCGUAAAGCGCGUGUAGGCGGCCCGGUAAGUCCGUUCUGAAAGCCCGGGGCUCAACCCCGGGAGGCGGAUGGAUACUGCUUGGCUCGAGUCCGGAAGAGGCGAGUGGAAUUCCCGGUGUAGCGGUGAAAUGCGCAGAUAUCGGGAGGAACACCAAUGGCGAAGGCAGCUCGCUGGGACGGUACUGACGCUGAGACGCGAAAGCGUGGGGAGCAAACAGG
rnacentral:rRNA from 1 species